CCCUCGCUCCCUCACUCCCGUGCAGCCUUCGCUUCCAUGUAGCUGGAGAGUAUAAAAGGGAGAGGUUCUGUAAUAAAGCAAGCAAGCAAGCAAGGAACUUGAGAAGAAAGGUGCCUCCCGUCUCUCUGUCCUCAUCCUUUCAGGUUUAGGACCUGCUGGCAGGAUCCUGAUGUCGCGGCUCGCGACAAGUGGCGCCCGAACAGGGACCUGAAAGUAGAUGAGGAUAUGUAAUCCCGGACCCAGGUCGAAGGCAGCGAUGGUGCUCCGGAGGACUGACCGCUGCGCCUGAUCCUCGCAGUUUAGGACCUGCUGGCAGGAUCCUGACGUCGCGGCUAGCGACAAGUGGCACCCGAACAGGGACCUGAAAGUAGAUGAGGAUAUGUAAUCCCGGACCCAGAUCGAAGGCAGCGACGGUGCUCCGGAGGACUGACCGCUGUGCCUGAUCCUCACAGUACAUUUAUAGAUCCACCACUAUCCCUGAACAGCUUGAAGCUGGGUUUCCACUGAGGAGACUGGAUUGGGACCCCAACACUGGAGCAGCAGAGAGAACUCCAGGAUGUGUCUUGGUGCACGAGCGGAGACUUUAUUGUCCAGAACAAGGAUUUAAUAGAAUUGGUUUGGCUAUACUUCAGCAACAAAUGGACUUAUUAAAUGAAGAAGUUGAAGGAUUGUGGUUGCAUACUCGAUUGGACUGCGACUCCAGAUUUCAACAGCUCUACUCCCUUUCCUGUCGAAAACCAUUCUGAGGAAGUCCGACAACUUUCAUCAUUGUUGCGA
rnacentral:lncRNA from 1 species